rnacentral:rRNA from 1 species
GCAAGUCGAACGGUAACGCAAAGUGCUUGCACUUUGGCGACGAGUGGCGCACGGGUGAGUAAUAUAUAGUUAAUGUGCCCCAAAGACUAGGAUAGCCACUGGAAACGGUGAUUAAUACUGGAUAAGCCUCUAUCACAUAAGUGAACGAGGAAAAUGUUUUUUCGCUUUGGGAUCAGACUAUAUCCUAUCAGCUUGUUGGUGAGGUAACGGCUCACCAAGGCAAUGACGGGUAGCGGGUUUGAGAGGAUGAAC